rnacentral:lncRNA from 1 species
CCUGACGCUGCCCCUGGGGCCACAGGUCCCUCGAGUGCUGGAAGGAUGAAGGAUUCCUGCAUCACCGUGAUGGCCAUGGCGCUGCUGUCUGGGUUCUUUUUCUUCGCGCCGGCCUCGAGCUACAACCUGGACGUGCGGGGCGCGCGGAGCUUCUCCCCACCGCGCGCCGGGAGGCACUUUGGAUACCGCGUCCUGCAGGUCGGAAACGGGGUCAUCGUGGGAGCUCCAGGGGAGGGGAACAGCACAGGAAGCCUCUAUCAGUGCCAGUCGGGCACAGGACACUGCCUGCCAGUCACCCUGAGAGGUUCCAACUAUACCUCCAAGUACUUGGGAAUGACCUUGGCAACAGACCCCACAGAUGGAAGCAUUUUGGCCUGUGACCCUGGGCUGUCUCGAACGUGUGACCAGAACACCUAUCUGAGUGGCCUGUGUUACCUCUUCCG